ensembl:lncRNA
CUCUGUUCUCUUCAGCAGCACCAUAAAAUGGUGGAAGCGUGGGGAACAGCUGUAAUUCAGUUUGGUUCAAGCAAAUGACUGUAGCAGGAUUUUGCUAUAUCAGAAAUAAGGAGAUGUUGAGUUAAUGCUGAAUAAGCCAUGAAACUGAUUUAUCUUAGAAGGAGAAAGAUUUCAUUUCCAGUUCUUAAAGUAAUUAUAAGCUGAUGGGUUUCUGCAUUUGUAUUUUGUCUGUAGAUUAAUGUUACAAAAAGUUAUUGCUCCUCUAAAAGAGAGAUUUCUGGCUCUAUUAAUUUUUUCAGAACGUGUUCAGUUUCCCAUUUGUGUCUAAAGGCUUUUGAAAGUGCACGCAUUUGAUUUGAUAUAAUUUAUUUUAUUUUUAAGAUGUAUAUUCAUUAGUGCUUUUACUUUCAGGUAUAAGGCAGAGUCUUUUCCUGUGCAGAUGCAUGGAAAAAUACAAGGGCUACGUUCAUCCAGAAAUUGGUUUGCAACAUAUAAGAUUAUAGAGACACUUGAAAGCAGGGAUCAUAGAUACUGUUGAAUAAUUUGCUGCUGAAAUGGCACUGCAGCACUAAUUCUGUAUCCUCUUAUUCUUGCUACAAGUAGAAAAUUUUCCAGAAAAGCUGUGUAUGCUUUUGAUGUGGUACUGCUGAACUGGUUUGCAUCCUGUGCAUUUUAUCAUCUCCUGCUAACAUAGCCUUUGCUUUAUCCAGCUGUCUGCAUUUUCGGCUCUUUCAGGUCAAGGUGAAUGACUCUAGAGUAAAAGCUUACAUCUCAAAUGAGUUGUGAUGAUGAGUAUUUCUCUCCUUCCUCAACGAUUCUUCAAGAACUUUGGAAACAAAGCAAAAUAGCUCCCAAAGCUACGACAGUGAAGUUACUUCAAAGGUUUGGGGCUUUUCUGGUGUCUUCAACACAGAAAUGUAUCCCAUGACCUGAGUUAGAGCACAAACUGCAGUAUGUGUUGCAGUGUGUCAUCCAUGCGAUGCUCUCUGGACUCACAGCUGUUGCUCAGCAGUUUGUCUCCAGCACCAUCCCAUGGCAGCUGCACUUGAAUGCUUUAUUCCUCCCGUUUUCAGGAGGAAAGCUGAAGUGAGUGGAUUCUUUUUAGUUGCUCGGAUGUAUUUUUGUUAAAGCUUUGUGUUGAAAACUUUAGUUCUGUGACACCAACUUGAAUUUCUGAAUGAUGCAGCCUCUGUAAGGAAGCUCACUAUGUGCAACCAAUAGGAUUACCUGAUUGCACUGCUGCUCCCAUAGCCUAGGCUAAUGAGAGUGCAGUGAAAAAGCAGCUACAUCAGGAAAGCCAGACAGUGGUUUGAUUAAUAUUGGCAUUGAGCUCUGCAUUUAGACUGAGCUCUGUUAGUUUACACCAGGUGACAAAGUAACCCAGGGUAUUCCUUGUUUGGGGCACAAAGGAAAAGGAUCUCGUUAUCACUUAAGGUGAUCAGUGACUCUACACAGCCUUGAAAGAAGUUGGUGUUUCUUUCAGGUCUUUGGUCACUUUUUAUCCCUUUUUGAGAAAUACCCAGCAAGUUCUUGAAGGAAACGACGUUUUUGUUGGCGUUUGCUUUGAAGGACUUGAUGCCCGUGAUUGACUGCUUUCCUUCAAAGCCUGCUCAAGACGCUGUGUUGGACCAAAUGUUCAUUUCUGCAGCUGUUUUAAUUUAAAGAAACCACCAUUUAAAAAGCAUUGCGCUUCGUGAGAGAGGCGAUCUGAGCAACUCA